rnacentral:rRNA from 1 species
CGACCGGCGCACGGGUGCGUAACGCGUAUGCAACCUACCUUUAACAGGGGGAUAACACUGAGAAAUUGGUACUAAUACCCCAUAAUAUCAUAGAAGGCAUCUUUUAUGGUUGAAAUUCCGAUGGUUAGAGAUGGGCAUGCGUUGUAUUAGCUAGUUGGUGGGGUAACGGCUCACCAAGGCGACGAUACAUAGGGGGACUGAGAGGUUAACCCCCACACUGGUACUGAGACACGGACCAG